rnacentral:rRNA from 1 species
UGCAGUCGAGCGAAUGGAUUAAGAGCUUGCUCUUAUGAAGUUAGCGGCGGACGGGUGAGUAACACGUGGGUAACCUGCCCAUAAGACUGGGAUAACUCCGGGAAACCGGGGCUAAUACCGGAUAACAUUUUGAACCGCAUGGUUCGAAAUUGAAAGGCGGCUUCGGCUGUCACUUAUGGAUGGACCCGCGUCGCAUUAGCUAGUUGGUGAGGUAACGGCUCACCAAGGCAACGAUGCGUAGCCGACCUGAGAGGGUGAUCGGCCACACUGGGACUGAGACACGGCCCAGACUCCUACGGGAGGCAGCAGUAGGGAAUCUUCCGCAAUGGACGAAAGUCUGACGGAGCAACGCCGCGUGAGUGAUGAAGGCUUUCGGGUCGUAAAACUCUGUUGUUAGGGAAGAACAAGUGCUAGUUGAGUAAGCUGGCACCUUGACGGUACCUAACCAGAAAGCCACGGCUAACUACGUGCCAACAGCCGCGGUAAUACGUAGGUGGCAAGCGUUAUCCGGAAUUAUUGGGCGUAAAGCGCGCGCAAGUGGUUUCUUAAGUCUGAUGUGA